rnacentral:tRNA from 1 species
UAGCUCAGUCAGGUAGAGCGUCGGGCUUUUAACCCGAUGGUCGCGGGUUCGAACCCCG